rnacentral:lncRNA from 1 species
ACAAGAAGCUUGCAUUAUUAUCGAAACUUAAUAUAUAGCUUGCGACAUACGUACAUACUAUCGUAUAUACAUAUGUCAAUUUCCUGUCAGCUAUUUGGAAAAGACUCGAAACUUUACAAAUAAGUAUAUUUGUAGUUGAAACUAGUUGACAUCACAGUAUUAGACUAUUAGAGUGUUAGUGUACACUCUAAAUAGAUGAAAAAAUACAUCCAACAAUUCAUAUAAGAAAAAAAAAAAAGGACAAUGCCCAUUAGCCCUAAUUUUAAGAAUUUUAUUUUCACAAACAAAAUCAGAUUUUAAAAUUCCCAAGAGUCAACUUAAACAGGAAAAAGACAAUUAUACUCUUAAUGAUUUAAAUAAACUAUAAUAGACCAUUAUUAUUAUUAUUAUUAUUUAAAUAAAUAAAACUUUUUAUUAAAUAACUCACACACCCUUACAUAUGUCAGCGAGGUUUGAACUCAUGACCUCAACGUUGUCAGUUAGGCUACCUAACCAACUAGGUCACGGCUCACCGACGUAUAAUAGACCAUUAUAAGAAUAAUAGAAGGUCUAUUUUGAAAUAAAUAUCUAUGACCGGAUUCUUGCACACCAAUGACCGUUGACCGUGACUCCGGCAACCGUUGACCAGAAUCCGACGACCGUUGACCGGGAUCCGACGACAUUGACCGGAGUUCGGUGACCGUUGACUGAACUCCGAUGACCGUUGACCGGACUCCGACGACGGUUGACCAGUCUCCGGUGACCGGAUGUCUAUUGAGGGCAGUAGAAGGUUUAUUGGGGGCAGUAGAAGGUUUAUUGGGGGCAGUAGGACCUCCUAUUGGGGCAGUAGGACCACCUAUUAGGGUCAGUAGGACCCUUAAACUUAACCGUGCUUUAGUCACUUAUAACAUGUCCCUAUUGGGGCUGUAUGACCACCUAUUGGGGGCAAUAUGACCACCUAUUGGGGUCAGUAGGCCACCUAUUAGGGGCAGUAUGACCUCCUACUAGGGUCAGUAGGACCCUUAAACUUAACUGUGUUUUAGUCACUUAUAUCAGGUCUUUAUUGGGGGCAGUAUGACCACCUAUUGCGGUCAGUAGGGCCUCCUAUUGGGGUCAGUAGGACCUUCUAUUGGGGGCAGUAUCAUUCAAAAUGGAAACCAAGUUCUUGUACACCCAACACUGUUUUCUUAAAAAAAGAAAAACUAAAAAAUUGACACGAAAAUAAGCAUAGCAUAAGAGAGACUUCAAAUCCAACCAUUCUAUGUAUCAAUUAUAGCUAUUUAAAAAAUCUUGACAUAUAAAUAAAUCAAGUGGUCAAUUAGAGGCUUAGAGGGGCAUUCCCAUCUAGUGAUACCAUACAAGUCUUCCCGGUAUAUUCAACCAUAUACAUAUAAACCAGAAAGAAGUACCAAGUCCUAACAGCUAUAGUAAUGGAAUAAUCAAAUAGAAAUAGUUAAGGUAAAGCAAAAUGAGAGAAAGAUGCAGGGAAUAUAUGAUUUCUACUAUAGAUUGAGGGCACAUGAAAGCUUACACAGUGGACUACUCCACACAAAUUUGCAAAGCGAAAUCAAAAAGCCAGAAGAAAUUAAUUAAGAAAGGAUUAAGAAACCCCUAAGAAAACAUUGUCUGUUUAAAAAAACUUAGCUAGCUAACUCAUAUCCACAAUCCACAAUUUUCACUUCAUCAUAUCAAAUCAGAUCAAACCCUAACUCCAAUCCAUCACACAUCAAAUCAAACCAAAGCAUUCAAAUUCCCAAUUUCUCCGGGCAAAGUCUUCAUCUUGUUGAACGAAAGGCCCAAAUACUCCAAGCUCUUCAAGCAUCAAAUCUCCGGCGGUAGAAAAGUUAUAGAGAAAUAACAUACCGAUAGCUUAGUCAGGAGCUUGAGCCCGGCGACCUAGAUAAGAAUUAGAACCGCCGAGCACAGGGACGUGACUUUGGAGAGCUCCAGCUCCUUCAGCCCUUGAACUUGUGCAGCGGCAAGCCGUCGAACUCCGGCGACGAGAUCCUCAGGCAUUCGAGGCUCACCAAGUCUCCUGGACUAGCCAGUCGACAUUGAUGGAGGUGGGCUUCGCCGGCAGCGUCGUUGUCGGGUCUGUGUCAGCGACGUCGUCAUCGAGCAGAGAGAGAGAGAGAGAGAGAGAGUAGAUACGAAUGAGGGGAUGGAAGAAAGAGAAAGAGAUAAUAAGAGGCAGGGGUAAUUUGGUCAGGAAAAAAACACAAAAGGUUAAAAAUUUUGUUAGUGAGAAUAGAUCUGUUAAGAGUGUAUGGGUUGAUGGGAAUAUUGAAAUCUGUUUUUGUUAGUGGGAAAAAGAUCCCCAAAUUUAGGGCUAGUGUGAAUUUUCCUAAAAAAAAAAAGUAGCUUAAAGUCUAAACUUCUUCAAAAAUGUAAGAAAAGGCCGUACUAUCAAUAUUGUCGGUUGAAUAUUGCUGGAGGAACCAUCUUUUUUGGUAAUACAUGCAUCACAUCUUAUGUGAGAAUUGAAGUGACACAAUAUGCACGACACAAUAUGCACGCCAUUUAAGAAUAGGUUCGGCUUUGUGGUACAUAUAUAAACUGCCGAUAAGGUGAUAUGCAGAUGAUAACCAAAUAGUUGGUUCACCGAACAUUAGAGUAUUGGCAACAAUACCACUGUUGGAAUAGCUAGGCUUUUACAUUAG